GCACGGGGACUGGCGGGUUCGAUUCGCGCUGCGUCUUUUCCCGCGAGGUCACCGCGCCUCCCUGCAGCCUCUGUUCUCCAGGAUGAUGAGCUGAUUUCAUACCCCGAGAAUCCUUCGGAAUCAGAUCACUGGACUUGAAACUGACCCUAAAAAGAACAAGGAGUCAUCAGGUGUGAGCGGAUUUGUUUGGCUGGUUAAAGAGUCUCCUUUGGGGUCACCAGAGAUGCGAAUUUUCGAAGUCACAAUAGUCAACUAAAGAGCUCAGAGAUGAGACUUUCCAGAGAAGUUACUGCGGCCAAGUUAAAUCAAGAGAGGUCUUCCUUAACAGACAACUGAAACAAUUUCUGACAUCUGCUGAAGUCACUCAGCAGCACAGGACUGACUUAGCUACUUUCUCCAUGGAUGAAGACAAGAAGGUGCAGAGGCUGGGAUGCCUCGCCAGGAUGCGGAGGAAAGAAGCCGGGAUUUGAGUGCUUCUGCACUCAGAAACCACGGCACAAGAACGCAGAGACAAAUGCCAGAGUGGACAGGCGGCCAGGGAGGGCCAGCGAUGCUUCUCCACGCCCAGACACGCCAGUGGUCUUCUCUUCAUGUCCAAACUGAGAUACCAUCUGAGGAAAAGGAGAGGCCCCGAAGUAAUUCACAGAGCCUUGAACUGACUAGGACGAAAACCGCUGACUCAGGAGCAGCCUGGUUGGACUAAGAUUCAUCUGCCAUUCAGGAUCUGCCAUUAAGCGGGAAGGGGUUAUGCCAUUAAGAGGAUGGAAAUAAAGCUCAGCUGGUAUAAAUAUGAACAUACGAAACGUUCCUCCAGCUUGUGGUUGACAGAAGUCAAACAUCCGGAAGGCCUUGUAACUCUGAUAAUUUGUUUUGAGACAGUUUCACUCUGUCACCCAGGCUGGAGUGCAGUGAUGUGAUCCGGGCUCACUGCAACCUCUGCCUCCUGGGUUCAAAUGAUUCUCCUUCCUCAGCCCCCCAGGUAGCUGGAAUUCCAAGCAUAGUGCCACCGCCACGCCCAAAUAAUUUUUAUAUAUUUAGUAAGACGGGGUUUCACCAUGCUGGUCAGGCUGGUCUCAAACUCCUGACCUCGUGAUGCCCCCGCCUCGGCCUCCCAACGUGCUGAGAUUACAGGCCUCAGCCACCGCUCCUGGCAACAUUUCUAGGAGCAAAACGGUGCCUUUCAGCUCUUGGGAUUCCCCGCUGUGCACAGGCCACC